AUGCUGCUCUACUCAGUGCUACUCCUCACGGUCAGAGCAGUGUGCUCUGCAGAGGGGGACUCUGUUUCUCAACCUAAAGAUGAGACGGGUCUGGAGGGCAGCAUGGUGACACUCAGCUGUCAGUAUGACACCACUGCAGCAGCAGGUAAUACCCAUGGGAAAGAAAUCACUCCAAACAGUGUUGAACUUAUCAAGGUGGAGGGAGAUGAUUUAACCCUCUCCUGUAGCUACAGCUCUGGAAACUAUCUACAGUGGUAUCGGCAGUCCCCAAGAUCAGCACCCCAGUUUCUCUUGUUUAUCACCAGUCCUGAUACGCCAGGGACAUCAGAGGAGGAUACUCGAUUGUCUGGGAGAAUGAAUGAGGAGAGAAAUCAAAUGUUCCUGGACAUCUCAUCUGCUAAACUCACAGACUCUGCUCUCUACUACUGUGCCAUGAGGCCCACAAUGAAGGAAACAGGCACACUGUAG